rnacentral:rRNA from 1 species
ACGAACGCUGGCGGCGUGCCUAAUACAUGCAAGUCGAACGAAACUUUCUUACACCGAAUGCUUGCAUUCACCGUAAGAAGUUGAGUGGCGGACGGGUGAGUAACACGUGGGUAACCUGCCUAAAAGAAGGGGAUAACACUUGGAAACAGGUGCUAAUACCGUAUAUCUCUAAGGAUCGCAUGAUCCUUAGAUGAAAGAUGGUUCUGCUAUCGCUUUUAGAUGGACCCGCGGCGUAUUAACUAGUUGGUGGGGUAACGGCCUACCAAGGUGAUGAUACGUAGCCGAACUGAGAGGUUGAUCGGCCACAUUGGGACUGAGACACGGCCCAAACUCCUACGGGAGGCAGCAGUAGGGAAUCUUCCACAAUGGACGCAAGUCUGAUGGAGCAACGCCGCGUGAGUGAAGAAGGUCUUCGGAUCGUAAAACUCUGUUGUUAGAGAAGAACACGAGUGAGAGUAACUGUUCAUUCGAUGACGGUAUCUAACCAGCAAGUCACGGCUAACUACGUGCCAGCAGCCGCGGUAAUACGUAGGUGGCAAGCGUUGUCCGGAUUUAUUGGGCGUAAAGGGGACGCAGGCGGUCUUUUAAGUCUGAUGUGAAAGCCUUCGGCUUAACCGGAGUAGUGCAUUGGAAACUGGAAGACUUGAGUGCAGAAGAGGAGAGUGGAACUCCAUGUGUAGCGGUGAAAUGCGUAGAUAUAUGGAAGAACACCAGUGGCGAAAGCGGCUCUCUGGUCUGUAACUGACGCUGAGGUUCGAAAGCGUGGGUAGCAAACAGGAUUAGAUACCCUGGUAGUCCACGCCGUAAACGAUGAAUGCUAGGUGUUGGAGGGUUUCCGCCCUUCAGUGCCGCAGCUAACGCAAUAAGCAUUCCGCCUGGGGAGUACGACCGCAAGGUUGAAACUCAAAGGAAUUGACGGGGGCCCGCACAAGCGGUGGAGCAUGUGGUUUAAUUCGAAGCAACGCGAAGAACCUUACCAGGUCUUGACAUCCGAUGCAUAGCGCAGAGAUGCGUGAAGUCCUUCGGGACAUCGAGACAGGUGGUGCAUGGUUGUCGUCAGCUCGUGUCGUGAGAUGUUGGGUUAAGUCCCGCAACGAGCGCAACCCUUGUUGUCAGUUGCCAGCAUUAAGUUGGGCACUCUGGCGAGACUGCCGGUGACAAACCGGAGGAAGGUGGGGACGACGUCAAGUCAUCAUGCCCCUUAUGACCUGGGCUACACACGUGCUACAAUGGACGGUACAACGAGUCGCGAGACCGCGAGGUUUAGCUAAUCUCUUAAAGCCGUUCUCAGUUCGGAUUGUAGGCUGCAACUCGCCUACAUGAAGUCGGAAUCGCUAGUAAUCGCGAAUCAGCAUGUCGCGGUGAAUACGUUCCCGGGCCUUGUACACACCGCCCGUCACACCAUGAGAGUUUGUAACACCCAAAGCCGGUGGGGUAACCGCAAGGAGCCAGCCGUCUAAGGUGGGACAGAUGAUUGGGGUG